AAAGUAUGUCAGACAGCGGCUUGCCCGGGCGAAAAACCGGGCAAGAGGAAAGUCCGAGCUCCGCAGAGCAAGAAUAACGGCUAACGGCCGCCGGGGGCGACCCCAGGGAAAGUGCAACAGAGAGAUACCGCCGGGUUUUUUUUACAGGCCCGGCAAGGGUGGAAAGGCGAGGUAAAAGCUCACCGGCACACUGGCGACUGUGUGGACAUGUAAACCCUAUUCGGAGCAACACUGGAAAACGCGCAAAAGCCUGCUCGGCGCGCGUUUUCGCAAAAUGUGGCCAGAACCCCGCGGCGACGCUGGGUCCAGAUAGAUCGCUGUCAAAUACAGAACUCGGCUUACAGACAUAGUUUCCUC
rnacentral:RNase_P_RNA from 1 species